GACGAACGCUGGCGGCGUGCUUAACACAUGCAAGUCGAACGGUGAAGGAAGAGCUUGCUCUUCCGGAUCAGUGGCGAACGGGUGAGUAACACGUGGGCAACCUGCCCUGACUCUGGGAUAACUCCUCGAAAGAGGUGCUAAUACCGGGUACGACCACUUCGGACAUCCGAUGGUGGUGGAAAGUUUUUCGGUCAGGGAUGGGCCCGCGGCCUAUCAGCUAGUUGGUGGGGUAAUGGCCUACCAAGGCGACGACGGGUAGCCGGCCUGAGAGGGCGACCGGCCACACUGGGACUGAGACACGGCCCAGACUCCUACGGGAGGCAGCAGUGGGGAAUAUUGCGCAAUGGGCGAAAGCCUGACGCAGCGACGCCGCGUGAGGGAUGAAGGCCUUCGGUUGUAACCUCUUUCAGCAGGGACGAAGCGAAAGUGACGGUACCUGCAGAAGAAGCACCGGCUAACUACGUGCCAGCAGCCGCGGUAA
rnacentral:rRNA from 1 species